rnacentral:rRNA from 1 species
GGACGAACGGCUGGCGGCCGUAGCCUAACACAUGCAAGUCGAACGGAGUCAGAAGCUUGCUUUUGACUAGUGGCGGACGGGUGAGUGACGCGUGAGUAACCUGCCUCUGAGAGGGGAAUAACGUUCUGAAAAGAACGCUAAUACCGCAUAAUGUAUCGAAGCCGCAUGACUUUGAUACCAAAGAUUUUAUCGCUCGGAGAUGGACUCGCGUCCGAUUAGUUAGUUGGUGAGGUAACGGCUCACCAAGACCGCGAUCGGUAGCCGGACUGAGAGGUUGAUCGGCCACAUUGGGACUGAGACACGGCCCAGACUCCUACGGGAGGCAGCAGUGGGGGAUAUUGCGCAAUGGGGGCAACCCUGAACCGCAGCAACGCCGCGUGAAGGAUGAAGGUUUUCGGAUUGUAAACUUCUUUUAUCAGGGACGAAGCUUGACGGUACCUGAUGAAUAAGCUCCGGCUAACUACGUGCCAGCCGCGGC